UACAGAGGGGGCAAGCGUUGUUCGGAAUUACUGGGCGUAAAGGGCGCGUAGGCGGCCUUCUAAGUCGAACGUGAAAUCCCCGGGCUCAACCCGGGAACUGCGUCCGAUACUGGGAGGCUUGAAUCCGGGAGAGGGAUGUGGAAUUCCAGGUGUAGCGGUGAAAUGCGCAGAUAUCAGGAGGAACACCAGCGGCGAAGGCGGUGCUCGUGGGCCGGAACUGACACUGAGGAGCGAAAGCGUGGGUAGCAAACAGG
rnacentral:rRNA from 1 species